rnacentral:rRNA from 1 species
CCUACGGGAGGCAGCAGUAGGGAAUCUUCCACAAUGGGCGAAAGCCUGAUGGAGCAACGCCGCGUGGGUGAAGAAGGUCUUCGGAUCGUAAAACCCUGUUGUUAGAGAAGAAAGUGCGUGAGAGUAACUGUUCACGUUUCGACGGUAUCUAACCAGAAAGCCACGGCUAACUACGUGCCAGCAGCCGCGGUAAUACGGAGGUGGCAAGCGUUAUCCGGACUUUUUGGGCGUAAGGGGAACGCAGGCGGUCUGUUAAGUCUGAUGUGACAGCCUUCGGCUUAAGCGGAGUAGUGCAUUGGAAACGGGGAGACGUGAGUGCAGAAGAGGAGAGUGGAACUCCAUGUGGAGCGGUGAAAGGCGUAGAUAUAUGGAAGAACAGCAGUGGCGAAAGCGGCUCUCUGGUCUGUAACUGACGCUGAGGUUCGAAAGCGUGGGUAGCAAACAGGAUUAGAUACCCGGGUAGUC